AUUGAACGCUGGCGGCAGGCCUAACACAUGCAAGUCGAACGAGUGGCGGACGGGUGAGUAAUGUCUGGGAAACUGCCUUAUGGAGGGGGCUAACUACUGGAAACGGUAGCUAAUACCGCAUACCAUCAGAUGUGCCCCGAUGGGGUUAGCUAGUUGGUGGGGAAACGGCUCACCAAGUCUACGAUCCCUAGCUGGUAUGAGAGGAUGACCGGCCAGACUGGAACUGAGAAACGGUCCAGACUCCUACGGGAGGCAGCAGUGGGGAAUAUUGCACAAUGGGCGCGAGCCUGAUGCAGCCAUGCCGCGUGUAUGAAGAAGGCAUUCGGGUUGUAAAGUACUGUCAGCGGGGAGGCGUUACCUGCAGAAGAAGCAACGGCUAACUCCGUGCCAGCCGCCGCGGUAAUAC
rnacentral:rRNA from 1 species